rnacentral:rRNA from 1 species
AAAUUGAAGAGUUUGAUCAUGGCUCAGAUUGAACGCUGGCGGCAGGCCUAACACAUGCAAGUCGAACGGUAACAGGAAACAGCUUGCUGUUUCGCUGACGAGUGGCGGACGGGUGAGUAAUGUCUGGGAAACUGCCUGAUGGAGGGGGAUAACUACUGGAAACGGUAGCUAAUACCGCAUAACGUCGCAAGACCAAAGAGGGGGACUUUCGGGCCUCUUGCCAUCGGAUGUGCCCAGAUGGGAUUAGCUAGUAGGUGGGGUAACGGCUCACCUAGGCGACGAUCCCUAGCUGGUCUGAGAGGAUGACCAGCCACACUGGAACUGAGACACGGUCCAGACUCCUACGGGAGGCAGCAGUGGGGAAUAUUGCACAAUGGGCGCAAGCCUGAUGCAGCCAUGCCGCGUGUAUGAAGAAGGCCUUCGGGUUGUAAAGUACUUUCAGCGGGGAGGAAGGGAGUAAAGUUAAUACCUUU